AUUGAACGCUGGCGGCAGGCCUAACACAUGCAAGUCGAGCGGCAGCGCGUCCGACCACCCUCGGGUGGUCGGAUGGCGGCGAGCGGCGGACGGGUGAGGAAUGCAUCGGAAUCUGCCUCGUUGUGGGGGAUAACGUAGGGAAACUUACGCUAAUACCGCAUACGACCUACGGGUGAAAGUGGGGGACCUUCGGGCCUCACGCGAUGAGAUGAGCCGAUGCCGGAUUAGCUAGUUGGCGGGGUAAAGGCCCACCAAGGCGACGAUCCGUAGCUGGUCUGAGAGGAUGAUCAGCCACACUGGAACUGAGACACGGUCCAGACUCCUACGGGAGGCAGCAGUGGGGAAUAUUGGACAAUGGGGGCAACCCUGAUCCAGCCAUGCCGCGUGUGUGAAGAAGGCCU
rnacentral:rRNA from 1 species